CGAUGGCGACCGGCGCACGGGUGAGUAACGCGUAUGCAACUUACCUAUCAGAGGGGGAUAGCCCGGCGAAAGUCGGAUUAAUACCCCAUAAAACAGGGGUCCCGCAUGGGAAUAUUUGUUAAAGAUUCAUCGCUGAUAGAUAGGCAUGCGUUCCAUUAGGCAGUUGGCGGGGUAACGGCCCACCAAACCGACGAUGGAUAGGGGUUCUGAGAGGAAGGUCCCCCACAUUGGUACUGAGACACGGACCAA
rnacentral:rRNA from 1 species